rnacentral:tRNA from 1 species
UCCCUGAUAGCUCAAUUGGUAAAGAAUCUGCCUACAAUGCAGGAGACCCUGGUUCGAGUCCUGGGUUGGGAA